AGUGAACGCUGGCGGUAGGCCUAACACAUGCAAGUCGAACGGCAGCACAGUAAGAGCUUGCUCUUACGGGUGGCGAGUGGCGGACGGGUGAGGAAUACAUCGGAAUCUACUUUUUCGUGGGGGAUAACGUAGGGAAACUUACGCUAAUACCGCAUACGACCUACGGGUGAAAGCAGGGGAUCUUCGGACCUUGCGCGAUUGAAUGAGCCGAUGUCGGAUUAGCUAGUUGGCGGGGUAAAGGCCCACCAAGGCGACGAUCCGUAGCUGGUCUGAGAGGAUGAUCGGCCACACUGGAACUGAGACACGGUCCAGACUCCUACGGGAGGCAGCAGUGGGGAAUAGUGGACAAUGGGCGCAAGCCUGAUCCAGCCAUACCGCGUGGGUGAAGAAGGCCUUCGGGUUGUAAAGCCCCUUUGUUGGGAAAGAAAAGCAGCAGGUUAAUACCCCGCUGUUCUGGCGGUACCCAAAGAAUAAGCACCGGCUAACUUCGUG
rnacentral:rRNA from 1 species